UACGUAGGGUGCGAGCGUUGUCCGGAAUUAUUGGGCGUAAAGAGCUCGUAGGCGGUUUGUCACGUCUGCUGUGAAAUCCCGAGGCUCAACCUCGGGCCUGCAGUGGGUACGGGCAGACUGGAGUGCGGUAGGGGGAGAAUGGAAUUCCUGGUGUAGCGGUGGAAUGCGCAGAUAUCAGGAGGAACACCGAUGGCGAAGGCAGGUCUCUGGGCCACUACUGACGCUGAGAAGCGAAAGCAUGGGGAGCAAACAGG
rnacentral:rRNA from 1 species